rnacentral:rRNA from 1 species
UACGUAGGUGGCAAGCGUUGUCCGGAUUUACUGGGCGUAAAGAGCGCGCAGGCGGUCGUUCAAGUCGCGUGUGAAAGCCCCCGGCUCAACUGGGGAGGGUCACGCGAUACUGAUCGACUCGAAGGCAGGAGAGGGUAGUGGAAUUCCCGGUGUAGUGGUGAAAUGCGUAGAUAUCGGGAGGAACACCAGUGGCGAAGGCGGCUACCUGGCCUGUUUCUUGACGCUGAGGCGCGAAAGCUAGGGGAGCAAACGGG